CUCUCAUCCUGACUGAUGCCCAGGGAAAUGAGAUUGUGGACUCUGAAGGGACAAGAGGAUCCAAGUAUUGGAAGCAAAAUGCAAAAAAGUUUCUUGCUGUCCCAGAGCAGAUCUUCCAUGUGUUCCAGCAAGGAACAAAGGGAAAGAAACUGAGUCAUAAAGACAUGGACUCCACAGGUCUUCAGGGGGUCCAUGAUAAAAUA